GACGAACGCUGGCGGCGUGGAUUAGGCAUGCAAGUCGAACGGUAGGAUACCUUCGGGUAUCUGAGAGUGGCGAACGGGUGAGUAACACGUAGGUGAUCUACCCUCAAGAUUGGGACAACCCAGGGAAACUUGGGCUAAUACCGGAUGAAAGCAGCAGUGAUGUUGUUUGAAAGGUGGCGUAAGCUGCCGUUUGGGGGAUGAGCCUGCGCUCUAUUAGUUAGUUGGCGGGGUAAAGGCCCACCAAGGCGAUGAUAGAUAGGCGGCCUUAACGGGUGGUCGCCCACACUGGGAUUGAGAUACGGCCCAGACUCCUACGGGAGGCAGCAGUCGAGAAUAGUCUACAAUGGCCGAAAGGCUGAUAGUGCGACGCCGCGUGAACGAAGAAGCCCUUCGGGGUGUAAAGUUCUUUUAUAUGUGAGCAGUGCUUUCUAUGUGAACAGCAUGGGGAGAGAGAUAUUAGCAUAUGAAUAAGCAACGGCUAACUCCGUG
rnacentral:rRNA from 1 species